AGGGCACCACCAGGAGUGGAGCCUGCGGCUUAAUUUGACUCAACACGGGAAAACUCACCCGGCCCGGACACUGGAAGGAUUGACAGAUUGAGAGCUCUUUCUUGAUUCAGUGGGUGGUGGUGCAUGGCCGUUCUUAGUUGGUGGAGUGAUUUGUCUGGUUAAUUCCGAUAACGAACGAGACUCUGGCCUAUUAAAUAGAUCCCUGGCCUAUUGACGCCGGGGAAAUUUCUUUUAGAGGGACGGGGGGAUUCUACCGCCCCAAAAUUAACAAUAACAGGGCUGGGAUGGCCUUAAAUGUCCGGGGCCCCCCGCCCGCUACCCUGAAGUGGAUCAGGGGGUCUUUGAAGCCUACUCUGUACGGAGUGGGGAACCCAAUGACCCUUCUGCGUGGUAGCGGAUACUUGAUUGUAUUUAUUCCGCUUGAACAAUUAAUUCCCAGUACGCGCCAUAUCAUAUGUUUGCAUUGAUUACGUGCCUGUUGUACACACACACCGUCGGUACUACCUAUUGAUUGAAUGU
rnacentral:rRNA from 1 species